rnacentral:rRNA from 1 species
CCUACGGGUGGCAGCAGUGAGGAAUAUUGGUCAAUGGGCGCUAGCCUGAACCAGCCAAGUAGCGUGAAGGAUGACGGCCCUAUGGGUUGUAAACUUCUUUUGUAUGGGCAUAAAGUUCAAUAUGUAUACUUCUUUGCAUGUACCUUAUGAAUAAGGAUCGGCUAACUCCGUUCCAGCAGCCGCGGUAAUACGGAGGAUCCGAGCGUUAUCCGGAGUUAUUGGGUUUAAAGGGAGCGUAGGCGGGUUGGUAAGUUAGAUGGGAAAGUUUGCGGCUCAACCUGAAAAUUGCAGUUGAUACUGUCAUCCUUGAGGACAGUAGAGGUAGGCGGAAUUCGUGGUGUAGCGGUGAAAUGCUUAGAUAUCACGAAGAACACCGAUUGCGAAGGCAGCUUACUAAUCUGUGACUGACAUUGAUGCACGAAAGUGUGGGUAUCAAACAGGAUUAGAUACCCCAGUAGUC